rnacentral:rRNA from 1 species
CAGCGAACGUAUCACUUAAAACGAUUCAGAAGCUUACGAUUGACGGAGCGAAGCGACGUCAAAGCGUAUACAAAGUCGAGUCGGUUUAAGGAUACGUUCGUUGGGUAGGGGAGCGUUCUGUAAGCCUGCGAAGGUGGCCUGUGAGGGCUGCUGGAGGUAUCAGAAGUGCGAAUGCUGACAUAAGUAACGAUAAUGCGGGUGAAAAACCCGCACGCCGGAAGACCAAGGGUUCCUGUCCAACGUUAAUCGGGGCAGGGUGAGUCGACCCCUAAGGCGAGGCCGAAAGGCGUAGUCGAUGGGAAACAGGUUAAUAUUCCUGUACUUGGUGUUACUGCGAAGGGGGGACGGAGAAGGCUAUGUUGGCCGGGCGACGGUUGUCCCGGUUUAAGCGUGUAGGCUGACUUUCCAGGCAAAUCCGGAGAGUCAAGGCUGAGGCGUGACGACGAGGCACCACGGUGCUGAAGCAACAAAUGCCCUGCUUCCAGGAAAAGCCUCUAAGCAUCAGGUAACAUCAAAUCGUACCCCAAACCGACACAGGUGGUCAGGUAGAGAAUACCAAGGCGCUUGAGAGAACUCGGGUGAAGGAACUAGGCAAAAUGGUGCCGUAACUUCGGGAGAAGGCACGCUGACACGUAGGUGAAGUGGUUUACCCAUGGAGCUGAAGUCAGUCGAAGAUACCAGCUGGCUGCAACUGUUUAUUAAAAACACAGCACUGUGCAAACACGAAAGUGGACGUAUACGGUGUGACGCCUGCCCGGUGCCGGAAGGUUAAUUGAUGGGGUCAGCGCAAGCGAAGCUCCUGAUCGAAGCCCCGGUAAACGGCGGCCGUAACUAUAACGGUCCUAAGGUAGCGAAAUUCCUUGUCGGGUAAGUUCCGACCUGCACGAAUGGCGUAAUGAUGGCCAGGCUGUCUCCACCCGAGACUCAGUGAAAUUGAACUCGCUGUGAAGAUGCAGUGUACCCGCGGCAAGACGGAAAGACCCCGUGAACCUUUACUAUAGCUUGACACUGAACAUUGAGCCUUGAUGUGUAGGAUAGGUGGGAGGCUUUGAAGCGUGGACGCCAGUCUGCGUGGAGCCGGCCUUGAAAUACCACCCUUUAAUGUUUGAUGUUCUAACGUGGACCCGUAAUCCGGGUUGCGGACAGUGUCUGGUGGGUAGUUUGACUGGGGCGGUCUCCUCCUAAAGAGUAACGGAGGAGCACGAAGGUUGGCUAAUCCUGGUCGGACAUCAGGAGGUUAGUGCAAUGGCAUAAGCCAGCUUGACUGCGAGCGUGACGGCGCGAGCAGGUGCGAAAGCAGGUCAUAGUGAUCCGGUGGUUCUGAAUGGAAGGGCCAUCGCUCAACGGAUAAAAGGUACUCCGGGGAUAACAGGCUGAUACCGCCCAAGAGUUCAUAUCGACGGCGGUGUUUGGCACCUCGAUGUCGGCUCAUCACAUCCUGGGGCUGAAGUAGGUCCCAAGGGUAUGGCUGUUCGCCAUUUAAAGUGGUACGCGAGCUGGGUUUAGAACGUCGUGAGACAGUUCGGUCCCUAUCUGCCGUGGGCGCUGGAGAACUGAGGGGGGCUGCUCCUAGUACGAGAGGACCGGAGUGGACGCAUCACUGGUGUUCGGGUUGUCAUGCCAAUGGCACUGCCCGGUAGCUAAAUGCGGAAGAGAUAAGUGCUGAAAGCAUCUAAGCACGAAACUUGCCCCGAGAUGAGUUCUCCCUGAGACUAUAAGUCUCCUGAAGGAACGUUGAAGACGACGACGUUGAUAGGCCGGGUGUGUAAGCGCAGCGAUGCGUUGAGCUAACCGGUACUAAUGAACCGUGAGG